CUCAGAUUGAACGCUGGCCGCAGGCCUAACACAUGCAAGUCGAGCGGUAGCACAGGGAGCUUGCUCUUGGGUGACGAGCGGCGGACGGGUGAGUAAUGUCUGGGAAACUGCCUGAUGGAGGGGGAUAACUACUGGAAACGGUAGCUAAUACCGCAUAACGUCGCAAGACCAAAGAGGGGGACCUUCGGGCCUCUUGCCAUCAGAUGUGCCCAGAUGGGAUUAGCUAGUAGGUGGGGUAACGGCUCACCUAGGCGACGAUCCCUAGCUGGUCUGAGAGGAUGACCAGCCACACUGGAACUGAGACACGGUCCAGACUCCUACGGGAGGCAGCAGUGGGGAAUAUUGCACAAUGGGCGCAAGCCUGAUGCAGCCAUGCCGCGUGUAUGAAGAAGGCCUUCGGGUUGUAAAGUACUUUCAGCGGGGAGGAAGGCGAUAAGGUUAAUAACCUUGUCGAUUGACGUUACCCGCAGAAGAAGCACCGGCUAACUCCGUGCCAGCAGCCGCGGUAAUACGGAGGGUGCAAGCGUUAAUCGGAAUUACUGGGCGUAAAGCGCACGCAGGCGGUCUGUCAAGUCGGAUGUGAAAUCCCCGGGCUCAACCUGGGAACUGCAUUCGAAACUGGCAGGCUAGAGUCUUGUAGAGGGGGGUAGAAUUCCAGGUGUAGCGGUGAAAUGCGUAGAGAUCUGGAGGAAUACCGGUGGCGAAGGCGGCCCCCUGGACAAAGACUGACGCUCAGGUGCGAAAGCGUGGGGAGCAAACAGGAUUAGAUACCCUGGUAGUCCACGCCGUAAACGAUGUCGACUUGGAGGUUGUGCCCUUGAGGCGUGGCUUCCGGAGCUAACGCGUUAAGUCGACCGCCUGGGGAGUACGGCCGCAAGGUUAAAACUCAAAUGAAUUGACGGGGGCCCGCACAAGCGGUGGAGCAUGUGGUUUAAUUCGAUGCAACGCGAAGAACCUUACCUACUCUUGACAUCCAGAGAACUUUCCAGAGAUGGAUUGGUGCCUUCGGGAACUCUGAGACAGGUGCUGCAUGGCUGUCGUCAGCUCGUGUUGUGAAAUGUUGGGUUAAGUCCCGCAACGAGCGCAACCCUUAUCCUUUGUUGCCAGCGGUCAGGCCGGGAACUCAAAGGAGACUGCCAGUGAUAAACUGGAGGAAGGUGGGGAUGACGUCAAGUCAUCAUGGCCCUUACGAGUAGGGCUACACACGUGCUACAAUGGCGCAUACAAAGAGAAGCGACCUCGCGAGAGCAAGCGGACCUCAUAAAGUGCGUCGUAGUCCGGAUUGGAGUCUGCAACUCGACUCCAUGAAGUCGGAAUCGCUAGUAAUCGUAGAUCAGAAUGCUACGGUGAAUACGUUCCCGGGCCUUGUACACACCGCCCGUCACACCAUGGGAGUGGGUUGCAAAAGAAGUAGGUAGCUUAACCUUCGGGAGGGCGCU
rnacentral:rRNA from 1 species